rnacentral:lncRNA from 1 species
GCCGUGGCCGGGUGCGCAGCUAAACGCAGCCCUUUCCUGUAAUCCAGGCACUUGGCGCUCUGAUAUACCCACUUUACAGAGGAGGGCACUGCGGCUCAGAGGCUGGGUCAUCGGCGCCUCAUUUCCUCGGCGGCCAAUUGGGGGCGCCAGAGAGCAGCGGACGCCCCUCCACCGACUUUCCAGCGCUUGGGAGGCGGAGUGAGACGCCCUGGAAUCCCAGCCCUGCCUUUCGCUGGUUGUGAGCUCUUGGCCAUGUUACUGACCUCUCAGAGCCUCAGCGCUGAGUUAAAAUAGAACUGGUGUCCUGAUAAUGGGUGAGGCCCCAGUGGAAUAACGCACGUGAAAUACACAUACUGGGCGUCCACUUAAUUAAGGCCCUAUCCUCAUUGCCUGCCAAGUUCCCAAAAGAGGGAUGGGUUUGGGUGGGAGGUUGAGAGGGGAGGUUCCCGGCCUUUCCAGCAGUGCCCCCUCUGCCGUCUGGGCCUGGCAGAUGCGUGUUGAUCCCAGCGUUUUCUCCAGCGUGCGCUCGCUUGCUAGGUCGACGUGAUCAGUGAGCUUUCUCCGCCCGUGUUAUCCUGAGUGUCCUGAGAGCAGCCCGUUUCUGCCCCUCUUGCGAUUACAAAGUCAAGCCCAGAGCCUGACCCACAGUAGUGCUCAAUAAAGGCUUAGAAAAAGCUCGG